ensembl:lncRNA
GGACCCUGUACAAGGAACAAGGCAGUCACCCGGAUCUGCCUGUUUGCAGAGUGUCACCCUGCAGCACAAAGGAAGCCAAAUAGCCCUGAAAGUCAACAGGAGAAAACUUUAUUGCCAGAUCCAAACUAGAAGGCAUCGAACGCCCACUCGCCCCACGCAUCAGCUGACAAAAGCCAGCACAGCAUCCCUGGCCCACACACCUCUUUCCACCAAAGGUUUGUAUAGUGGGUGUGAAGGAAAAUGUCCGUGGCCCCUUUCCCUGCCCGGAUCCGCUGUGCCUGACCCACCCUCACCCUGACCCCAGGGACCACGCGGUGCUGGCGGAGGAGCCACCACCCAUCCCCACCGCGCCCGGAGAGGGCUGCAGACCUUUGUGCGCAGUGCUGGGUGCGCCGUGUGUCUGUUGGGCAUCCCCAUGGUGAUGGCACCCAUAAAGCCAUGUUUACAGGCCAGCCCUGCCUGUCACAUGGCAGGGCCCUGUAUUUAAGGGGUGCCCAAGGCCGGCCCUGACAGCCUGUGUGCUGCGUGAGGACGACGCCGGGGCUGCAGUGCUGUCGGUGUGGUCAGUUCUGCAGGUGCUGAGCAGCAGCGCCCAGCGGGGCACCAGGGCUGGCUCUGCCCAAGGACGUGGGCUGGGCACGGGGCUUGGCUAUUCCUUGCCACUUGGAGGGGGUGCAUUAGGCCAGGGUUGGGUUCUUUGCAUCAGCAAGGCAAACCACAAGCCUGGGUUGUGCUGGGACUUCAGAGGUGAGGGUGGCUGCUCCUGGGAUCCCCAGAAGGGUCAGGGUGGCCAUGGGGACGUGUGUGGGACAAGUGCACUGCCCAUGCCUGGGCACACGGAGCCACACGUGGGCUGGAGGCCUGGGGCCACGGGGAUGCCUGGCACAAGGGCCGUGCACGGCAGGCAGAACUGACAGCGUAGUCCUUCCUUCCCCUGCAGCUCGGGGCCGUGAGAAGAUGUCAUCCCCACACCCAGGUGAGUGCCCGUGGGUAGGGCUUGGGCAGCCCUGGG